GGAUCAGUAGCUGAGACGGUGUAGCGUCUGGUUGAAGACCAGGAGACGAGGGUUCGAUCACCUCCUGAUCCAC
rnacentral:tRNA from 1 species